CCCUUAGAUGUUCUGGGCCGCACGCGUGCUACACUGAGUGGAUCAGCGGGUCAGGUUGCGCGAAAGCGUUUCCUAAUCUUUAAAUCCGCUCGUGAUGGGGAUUGACGGUUGCAAUUUUCUGUCAUGAACGAGGAAUACCUUGUAAGCGCGGGUCAUCAUCCCGCGCUGAAUACGUCCCUGCCCUUUGUACACACCGCCCGUCGCUCCUACCGAUUGAAUGGUCCGGUGAAAUCUUCGGAUUGCUGACCAAGAUCCAGCAAUGGAGCUUGGUUGCGAGAAGUUGAUUAAACCUUAUUAUUUAGAGGAAGGAGAAGUCGUAACA
rnacentral:rRNA from 1 species